GAUGAAGAACGUAGCGAAAUGCGAUACGUAAUGUGAAUUGCAGAAUUCAGUGAAUCAUCGAGUCUUUGAACGCACAUUGCGCCCGCUAGUAUUCUGGCGGGCAUGCCUGUCCGAGCGUCAUUUCAACCCUCAAGCCCCUCCGGGGGCCUGGCGUUGGGGAUCGGCCCCGCUCCGGCGGCCGGCCCCGAAAUGUAGUGGCGGUCUCGCCGCUGCCUCCUCUGCGUAGUAGAAACACCUCGCAUUGGGACGCGGCGGGCCCACGCCGUUAACCAGAUGAAUUUUUUCAAGGUUGACCUCGGAUCAGGUAGGAAUACCCGCUGAACUUAAGCAUAUCAAUAAGCGGAGGA
rnacentral:misc_RNA from 1 species